rnacentral:rRNA from 1 species
UACGGAGGAUGCGAGUGUUAUCCGGAAUCACUGGGCGUAAAGCGUCUGUAGGUUGUUUGCUAAGUCUGCUGUUAAAGCUUGAAGCUCAACUUCAAAAAUGCAGCGGAAACUAGUAGACUUGAGUGUGGUAGGGGUAGAGGGAAUUUCCAGUGAAGUGGUGAAAUGCGUAGAUAUUGGAAAGACCACCAAUGGCGAAGGCACUCUACUGGGCCACUACUGACACUGAGGCGCGAAAGCUAGGGGAGCAAACGGG